GCUAUUUAGUUGUUUAUUUGUUUGUGAUUGUGAGGAUAAUAUAAUAGUCCCACAUCGCUUACUUGAAUGAAGUUUGCACUGUUUAUAUAACACUUCAACACAUUAUACUGCGUCCCUUCGGGGACAUCCGAUAAAAUUGGAACGAUACAGAGAAGAUUAGCAUGGCCCCUGCGCAAGGAUGACACGCACAAAUCGAGAAAUGUUUGAAGCUGUUGGUGGAAAGUAUUGAAGAUUACAAUCAACUGCUAAAUUUAGGAGGUGGUUGACAUAAUCAUCUGGCUUGAUAUCGUAUAUCAGUCCGGGAUUCAAUUAAUCUUUGGCUACCUGGAUUGGCUUGAUUAAAAUCAGCUACAAAUAGCUAGAGUGGUAGAAGGUUCACUUUGUUUGCAUUGCUGAAGAAUGAAGUUGGUAUGUGAUAACUCUGAAUAAGUCUUCACUUUUUAUAGUUUGACUCCAAAAGAAGAAAAUAUGGCAUUUGGGAGGCCCUGAAAGUAGAGAGAGAAUUCGUAUUAGAUUUUUUAUUUCUUAAAACUCGAUCUUUUUGAUCACUUUUUCGAUAUUUUGUUGGGAUGAGUAUAGAUUUUUAUUUUUUAGGGGAUGGGGUGUGUAUGGUUUUAUAUCUUUAUUGUAUUUGUGACUAGAGUUCUGACACUACAGCUAUUGUUGCUGUUUCCUUGCCUUUUCUAUUUGUUCCAGUUCUGUAGAUGUCAUUUGAUUCUUUCGCGUAUGAAUGUUAAGUAAAUUGAGAUUCAUGUGUUGUUAUUGAUUUGAUCAUAAUCUGUUUAUUAUGUAGCAGUAGCACUACUACUUUUGCUUUCAAGCAAAUAGCGUCUAAAUCUUCUAAACUCACAGCUUUGUGCAAUGAUCAAUCAUACAUUUUGCAUCUCUCUAUGUAUAUAGUUUACUAUGCUAUGUCUUUUUUUAGGUUGGUAAUUCUCCUUUUACUCGCCCUACUAUGUUGAAGUCUCUCGAGGACAUUUUAUUGAUGCAGGAAAAAUUAUGGUAAUAGGUUACAUCUAUCGUGUUGAAUGAGUGCACUUUAUGAAAAUCAUUAGUGAAUCAAAAUAACACCAUUUUCACUUUCUUCCUGAAUUUUUUCAUUUCCUCUCAUAUGGUUAUAGCUCUGUUUUACAUUAUACAUAAGUGACCUAAACAAGUUUCUCAGUUCUUUUUAUGUGCCUUGAUGUUUGAGAAGUGCAUGUUUAGAUUGUUUUCGAAUGGAUAUAACUUAUUGACACCGGAGCAGCCAACCAUUAGGAAGAAAAUACUAAUAAGAUAACGAUAAACAGAAAUUACUUCUUUGGUCACGCAAGUUCUGUAUGGUGUGAUGCUCGCUCUGCACACUUGAAUUUUGAACUUCUCUGUCUAUAUGUUGAAUUUGACAAGUUUUCUUGAUUUUUUCUGUUUAGAUAAACUUUUGGUUGUUUCUACAGAUGUUUCUUGGUACACUAAUAAUGUUGUUGGACUGGACAUGCUAAACAGUGAUGUUAGUUGCUGCAAAUGUGAAAUAAAUGGGAGAAGAUAUCAGUGAUGUUUCUAUUUGGGAUAGAGCAAUUAGUGUCGCAUUUUGCGUUUGGACGAGUUAAGGUGGUUUGAAGUUUUGUUGAAGAUAAGAGAAGACAUGGAAUGAAGUUCUCACAUGAUGUUGUGUAGCAUUAAUCCAAAGGUUACUCAGCUUUGUUGAUAUUGGGUACUGUAUUUUAGUUUCUUUACUGUAAAUCCAUCACCAAAUAUCUGUAUAUGAUGCAAACAAAUCUUCCAAUUUCAUUCGUAGGAACUUUCCAUAGUUGCAAAUAUUAACAAUUUGAUUUACUAACAUUCAUUA